rnacentral:lncRNA from 1 species
GAUAAUUCCUCAGGAAUGUUUGGAAAUAUAGCUCAUUGAAUGUCCAAUUUUUCCCCCUGAAAUAAUAUACUCAGUCUUGCUGGAUAGGUGACUCUGGGUUGUAAACCCAAAGCCAUUGACUUCAUAAAUAUCAUAUUCCUUGCCUUUUGACCCUUUAAUGUAGAAACCACCAGGUCCUGUGAGAUCCUUAUUAUAGCUCCACGGUAUUUAAAUGAUUGCUUUCUGGCUGCUUGAAGUUUUUUUUUUCCUUUCCUUGGUGGUUCUUGAAUUAGCCAUUAGGUUCCUCAAAGUUGUCAUUUGAGGAUUUAUUUCUGGAGGUGAUCUGUGAAUUCUUUUAAUUUCAAUAUUAUUUUCUUGUUCAAGGAUCUCUAGGAAGUUACUUUGAUAAUUUCUUGUAAUAUGAUGUCUAAGGUUUUUUUUUUUUUUCUUGAUCAUGGCUUUCAGGUGUGAUAGAGGCUGGCACUAGAGAAAAAGUGCCAGGCUGAAGAGUAUGUGAAAUUGAUCACCUCAAAGGGGGAGUGACCCCAGGAGUGGAAUCCAGAGGAGGAGAAGACUCUGGCUGGGAGAGCAGUGAGGGUUUCUCUCGGUCUUGAGAAGCCAGAGAGAGAAGUUGGAAAAAAGACUAUCUCCUGAGGGUUAUCCAUCUUUCCUGCUGGUGACUGGAAAUCUUUUCCCCCAACACUUCUCAGUUGAAAGUACUUCUGAAGAGAAACCUGAGCAGACUUUACCUCAGCUCCUGUUGCCUAGAGCAAUGAACCUUGAUUGAAAUGUGGAGAAAGACUACAACUCACCCUUUGAUUGAAGGCAGUUAACUGUUGCCCUACUCACUGGAAGAUGGAGGCCAGAAUGUGUACAGAAGGAAGGAAGCUUAGAAGAUCAACUCCUCAGCAUGGGGACAAAGACAUAAAAAUCACAGAAAGCGCGCUAAUGACAGGCCCCUGGGAAAAGGCCUUCCAAGACAAUGAAUGAGCUGA